GGGAGGAGAUAGGGAUCCAGACAAGAAAGGACUGUGCCAAAAAGAAGGGUUUCCAGGAAGCAGAAGUGGUCUUGGAGAGAAAACAGGGGUCUCAAAAAGGAAACAGUGAAGAUCCUGGCUGGAAGGAAGAUCCUGGAAGAGAAGGAGAUGGGUGGAGACCAGUGCCAGCAGACCUUGCCCCAGGACUGCUACCUGGAGCAGCUGCCCACUGCCAGCUAACACAGCUCCCUGCUGGAUUUCCCCAGGCCAGCAGCAACCUCCCUGCUGGGAAGGAUGAUUACUUCGUAUCAAGAAUAGAGAGAGUUUUUCAGAAAAGAAGUCUGAGAAGUCAUCCAGCUGAACACUGGAAAUCUUAUCAGCGACAUCAGAAAUGGAAGGAGGAAGGUUGGUCUCCUCUGUUACAGCAUGCUUCAGAUAAGCCACCACAGACUCUUCUUGGGCAGAAGAUUCAGCAGCUACAGAAAUCUUUAUGCUAUUUGCUUUGGAAAAUGAGACCUCAUCAAUGCUUUUUCCAGCUGAGGCUUCUGAAAUAGCUGUGUCUGCAGCAGCUUUAUCUUGAGAACAGGUCUCUGUUGUAUCUCUGCUCUGGCUUUCAUCUUCCUUGCUAGUUUUAGAAGUUCCUUUGCCUUUCUGCUCAUUUUCAGGUUUCUUCUCCAGUCUAUCAUCAAAGAAUGAGUCUU